UGUUCGUCGUCGGGGAUCGGCUCGCCCACCGUGUUCUCGACGCGGCGCGGGCCGGUCUCCGGCGCGGGCGGAUCCUCGCCGCCGAGGGCCGG
rnacentral:tRNA from 1 species